AGUGAACGCUGGCGGUAGGCCUAACACAUGCAAGUCGAACGGCAGCACAGUAAGAGCUUGCUCUUACGGGUGGCGAGUGGCGGACGGGUGAGGAAUACAUCGGAAUCUACUUUUUCGUGGGGGAUAACGUAGGUAAACUUACGCUAAUACCGCAUACGACCUACGGGUGAAAGCAGGGGAUCUUCGGACCUUGCGCGAUUGAAUGAGCCGAUGUCGGAUUAGCUAGUUGGCGGGGUAAAGGCCCACCAAGGCGACGAUCCGUAGCUGGUCUGAGAGGAUGAUCAGCCACACUGGAACUGAGACACGGUCCAGACUCCUACGGGAGGCAGCAGUGGGGAAUAUUGGACAAUGGGCGCAAGCCUGAUCCAGCCAUACCGCGUGGGUGAAGAAGGCCUUCGGGUUGUAAAGCCCUUUUGUUGGGAAAGAAAAGCAGCAGGUUAAUACCCCGCUGUUCUGACGGUACCCAAAGAAUAAGCACCGGCUAACUUCGU
rnacentral:rRNA from 1 species